GCAGAACCUUGCAGUGGCAGCCUGGUCAGCCAUUCCUUGCUCUGAUAUGUAACCCUUCGGAGGCGAGAAGGUUUCCUGGAAGGUAUUAGUUUUCUGGGCUCUUGUUUGUGCCUGUUGAAAAGGCUCUCACUAAUUAUGGAAUGAGUCAUGCAAUCCUAUUGAAUUACAGUAUAUGCACCUGUAAGAUGUUCUGCCAAAUAAAACAGAUUCUCUCAAGGAUUUCUGAAUGUAUCAAUAUCAAAGCCUGCUUUGUUUGUGAUAGAGCAAAAAGUUUUACUUUGUGUGCAUUAUUUUAAGUGCACUCACAGGUUGCUGCCUUAUCAACCACACCCUGGUGUGAUGAAUGUAAGUGCCAGUCUCAGCACCUGGGCCUCCUUUGCAAUCUGAUGUCGAUAUGGGCAACGAGGCUCAACUGUUCUGGGUGUCCAGAAAGAAAGAGGAAAGGCUCUUUCUUCCCUGCACAUGGCCAGAAAAGCCCUGGGAGUACAAUGCUGUGGGUUGGGGGAAGGCAGUAGAAUUGGAAAGAGAAGCAAGUCAUUUUUCUCCAGAGCUACUGAAGCUUGCCAUUGAGUUCCUGCAAGGCAGAGUGAAGGAGCAGUCAGGACUGAGAACUAUGCGCAGAUCUAUGAAGAAACUCAGAGAGAUGCCUGUGUCCUAGAGCUGCUAUAUGAAUGGAAUGUGUUAAUGUCUGCUGGGUGAUUGGUACUUAAACAGAGAAGCGUUUUGGGCCAGCACAGCCUCAACACACUAGGGACAUAGAAGUAUCGAGGCAGCUUAGGACAGAAAGUGUUAUUAAGCAAAGGGCUUGUAGCAGCAGAACAGCUAGGUUCCACAGGGAGCAAGCUCCCUGAAAAGAAUGGAUUAGUGCAUACGCUGGCUACUUUAAUGCAAGCUAACCACAGUUAAAGUGGUUCAACAACCCAAUGUAGACAUGGCCUAAAGCAAUGCAAUAACAUUUCCUUCUUUUCC
rnacentral:lncRNA from 1 species